rnacentral:misc_RNA from 1 species
UCCGAGUUGACCCCGGCAGUCUCCCUAGAGUUCCCGGCCGAACCGCUGGUAACUAAGGAUAGGGGUUGCGCUCGUUGCGGGACUUAACCCAACACCUCACGACACGAGCUGACGACAGCCAUGCAGCACCUGUGUUCCCGCCAGCCGAACUGAAGGGUCCCAUCUCUGGAACCCAUACGGGACAUGUCAAGGGCUGGUAAGGUUCUGCGCGUUGCUUCGAAUUGAACCACAUGCUCCACCGCUUGUGCGGGCCCCCGUCAAUUCCUUUGAGUUUCAGUCUUGCGACCGUACUCCCCAGGCGGCGAACUUAACGCGUUAGCUUCGACACUGAGAGCCUAAUUGCUCCCAACGUCCAGUUCGCAUCGUUUAGGGCGUGGACUAC